rnacentral:rRNA from 1 species
GUGCAAUGGCAUAAGCCAGCUUGACUGCGAGCGUGACGGCGCGAGCAGGUGCGAAAGCAGGUCAUAGUGAUCCGGUGGUUCUGAAUGGAAGGGCCAUCGCUCAACGGAUAAAAGGUACUCCGGGGAUAACAGGCUGAUACCGCCCAAGAGUUCAUAUCGACGGCGGUGUUUGGCACCUCGAUGUCGGCUCAUCACAUCCUGGGGCUGAAGUAGGUCCCAAGGGUAUGGCUGUUCGCCAUUUAAAGUGGUACGCGAGCUGGGUUUAGAACGUCGUGAGACAGUUCGGUCCCUA